UGAGGCAGGUAGAGGUGACUGGAACGACUGGUGGAGCGGUGAAAUGCGUAGAUAUCAGUUGGAACGCCGGAGGCGAAAGCGGGUCACUGGGCCUGUCCUGACGCUGAGACGCGAAAGCGUGGGGAGCGAACAGGAUUAGAUACCCUGGUAGUCCACGCCGUAAACGAUGCGCACUAGGUAUGAGAGGCUCUGACGCCGAUCGUGCCGCAGGAAAACUGUUAAGUGCGCCGCCUGGGGAGUACGGCCGCAAGGCUAAAACUCAAAGGAAUUGACGGGGGCUCACACAAGCGGUGGAGCAUGUGGAUUAAUUCGAAGCAACGCGAAGAACCUUACCUGGGUUUGACAUGUACGGAUGCUCUUUUGGAAACAGGAGUAGGCUGCCUUCGGGUGAAACGUACACAGGUGCUGCAUGGCUGUCGUCAGCUCGUGCUGUGAAGUGUCGGGUUAAGUCCCUCAACGAGCGAAACCCCUGUCGCUAGUUACCAGCGGGUCAUGCCGGGGACUCUAGCGAGACCGCCGGCGUCAAGCCGGAGGAAGGUGGGGACGACGUCAAGUCAUCAUGGCCUUUAUGUCCAGGGCGUCGCACGUGCUACAAUGGCUGCUACAGAGCGAUGCGAGACCGCGAGGUGGAGCAAAUCGCAUAAAAGCAGCCCCAGUUCGGAUUGGAGUCUGCAACUCGACUCCAUGAAGUUGGAAUCGCUAGUAAUCGCGCAUCAGCCAUGGCGCGGUGAAUGUGUUCCUGAGCCUUGUACACACCGCCCGUCAAGUCAUGGAAGCUGGGAGUACCCGAAGUCCGCNNAGCUAACCC
rnacentral:rRNA from 1 species